ACAUCUAUAUUUUUAAUACACGAAUGAAUAGAUUGCUCACCAUUGUUGUCUACUGCUGCUCGUGUAUUUAAAUCUCACGGACAGCGGCAAUACACAGAUAGAUCUGGAGAGAUGGCUUAGUGAAAACCCAUAUGUGGGAAGAUUUAGGCAGGGAGACGAGUGGCCUGGCGUUCUGGCAACCAGCUUACAAUGCUCCUCUGGAGUUGCCCAACAAUAAAGCCAGAAAGGAGGGGGGAGCAGGGAAGAGAUGGAUUUUGAAAAAAAGAGCACGCUUCCCGGCUACAAAUCAAUAGCAUUUGGCUCCCCCGCCCGGCAAAAGAAAAGAUGUACCACCCCUAGGCUGCUGGUUCAAUCAUUAAUGUGCGGUGAGGGAAAUUCAACCCCCAUCGGAAACCAGGAUGCUGGGGCUUUGCUGUUGCGCUCAUAUUCCUGAAACCACGCCCUGGAAUGGUGCUGUUUUGUCUCCGAAAGGACCGCCAUCAACCAUAAGGAGCAUUAGGCGCAGCAUCUGCCUGCUGGAAACUCUAGAAACUCAGCAAUCACACAUAUCUAGAAGUAAGCAAACCUUACUUACAGCUAUAUAUGGGAAGAGUCCCGUGGAUAGAAACUACAGCUGAGAAGACUCUUAAUAUAUGAACUAGCAAAACAUUAUAAUGUAAUGUAUGAUUACAUUAUAAUAAACAUCUGUUAGUUUUA